AUUGAACGCUGGCGGCAGGCCUAACACAUGCAAGUCGAACGAGUGGCGGACGGGUGAGUAAUGUCUGGGAAACUGCCCGAUGGAGGGGGAUAACUACUGGAAACGGUAGCUAAUACCGCAUACCAACGGAUGUGCCCAGGUGGGAUUAGCUAGUAGGGGGGGUAACGGCUCACCUAGGCGACGAUCAGUAGCCGGUCUGCGAGGAUGAACGGCCACAGUGUGACUGGGAACCGGCCCCGACUCCUGAGGGAGGCACCAGUGGGGAAUAUUCGCAAUUGAGCACAGUCUGAAUGAGCAAAGCCGCGGGGUGGAUGACGGCCUUCGGGGUGUAAAGUAUUUUAAUCGGGAAGACGGUACCGGAAUAGAAAGCAACGGCUAACUCCGUGCCAGCAGCCGCGGUAAUAC
rnacentral:rRNA from 1 species